CUUAGCUAUGAGCUCACAUUUGCCAAUGUAGUGUUCCAGACAGUUUUAUCAUCCACAUUGCUGACCUGGAAGAUGCAUCAUUGUCUAUGAUAUCUGCAAUGGAAAUGAUCACUAGGCAAUUUCAGCCUUGCAAAUCUAACAUCCAGAUACCAACCUCACCAUCGUCUGACUACUAUGUCCCUGGUGCACAAUGCCUGCCUUCACUACAGCCUUUCACACAAAGCAUUUACCCUGUUGCUUAAUUGUCUGAUCGUCCCACUCCCUUGGAUGAGAACUGCAUCUCUUCCAUCUCUUAUUCUGAGUGGCUUGGCUAAGACAUUCACUGACUCCAUGGGGAAACUUCACCUACAGAGGAAAGAGCCAUCCUCCUGUGGGCAGGUGAUGUGUCCUUGUUCUUUCCCUGACGUGCCCAGUCCUCUUGCAAGUGACUUGAAAGGAUGCACCAGCCUGGCUGCAGGCAGAGGUGUGAAGAAGGUCCUUGCUUCCCCUUCACCUUCUGCCAUGAUUCUAAGUUUCCUGACGCCUCCCAGCCGUGCUUCCUGUUAAGCCUGUGAAACUCCUUUGGAAUGAGUACACAUCCAGGAGUGAAGAAGACAAGCUCAACUGCCAUUCUCUGAGCAGUUCAAGGCAUACUGAGUUGCGGGAGUUGUGUGGUGGUCCACUCUGACUGCAAGCACCCCUUUCUUGAACCGAACAGAGUCAAGUGGAAUCAAAGGACAUUACCUGUUGAUUCUUGGGCAAGGCCCAGAAUUUGGUGGACAUACUUAAAGAAGAAAGGAAUCUUCAGCUAAAGUGUCUACGAUCAAUUCAGAUUUGGAGGGCAUGGAUCUUCUGACAGUAGGGGCCAUUCUAGGAUUUUUUGGUUGAAGAGAUGAACUUCAACUUGGUUCCAGAUGGGUGGUCCAGCUAUUCUGCUGACAACAUUUUUCAGGGCAAGGCUUUUGCUACUGGAAUGAUUUAAGGAAGAUCCCUCAGUGUUUCAGAGUAAAGAUAUUUCUAAAGAAGUACCUGUGUCAUUGCCCAUCUUGAAGAUUGACUUUUAUGGAUUGCUCAAAUACUGAUAUCAGCUCAAUGUCAAUAUAUACUCCUACAUAUAAAAUCCAUCUUCUAAUCAUAAUCACUAGGUUUUAACCAUUUAAGGCCAUGAGGUGUGAGGUCUUUUGAGAGUGAAAGAACUCAUAUUAAUCCAGCUCCUGACUCCUAAAAAAACAGUAACUCUUGUAAUUAAAAUGGGCAGAGUCCAUCAAGAAGCAGUGUCCAGAAGCACUGGGCCAUGUGGCGAGCAGCAGUGUCACCAGGAAACAUGCCGAGCUGGGUCAGGAACUGCGCAAGGAGGAGGAGACACUGCUCCUGUUGAAGGCAGCCCUCGCAUGACCUGCUGAAUCACAUCAAGGUUGAAGCAUUGGCCCUCCAAUCAAUGAUUAGUUCUGGGAGAGGGGAUGAGGUGCUGUCUUCUCCAACUUCUCCAACUGUGCCUGAACAGUCACACGUCAUGUCAGUGCAUAUAGAGAAUGAAGCAUCAGUCAACCAAACUACGCUGGAGUGGAGCAUAGAGUCCUGUGACAGAAGAGGAGGAGGAAGAGAAAGAAGAAUCAGAUCCCUAAAGGAGGGAAAAAGCCAGGAUUCAUUAUACAAAUUAAAUUUCUAAGUCUCAGGCUCUUUCUCCCCAAGGAAAUCAUCUUGCCAUGAGCCCUAGGGCCUGCUUGAAUGGAGAGCAAGAACUAUAGGAGGAUGUGUAGCUGCAAAAAUUUCUCAUCAAUAACUCAAUCUUCAGAACGUUAUGACAUACAGAAAAUCAAAGAUGCUGUGUCUUAGCAUUGAGCAAUAUGGGUGGUGCUAUGUCUGUAGUCUGGUCAAAUUCAGUAACUGUGUUCAAAACAAAAUUUCCUCUGGAAUACUAUUGAGAAAAUCUGGCAUUUGCAAAAAGGGCAGAGUUUAAAUAUGAGCCAGUCUUUCCAAUCAACAAUACCUCUUUUAAGAAAACCAACUAACAGCUGUUUGCAUGCCGUUGAAUCCUUGUGAGCAGUUAGGCCACAGUCUAGGACAGAAAGAUGACACGGGGAAGGACUGAGGGCCAUCUGAGAACAAAAGUUGUUGCUACUUCUCAGAGGCAUUGAGACACACUGCAUGCUGUAGACUGCUUUGUGUAACUGUUGUCACAUCUUGCUUGAGAUGUCAUUGGCAGAAUGUUCUUAAAAAUAAAUUAUAGAUAAAUAGCCA
rnacentral:lncRNA from 1 species